UACGGGGGGGGCAAGCGUUGUUCGGAAUUACUGGGCGUAAAGGGCUCGUAGGUGGCCAACUAAGUCAGACGUGAAAUCCCUCGGCUUAACCGGGGAACUGCGUCUGAUACUGGUUGGCUUGAGAUUGGGAGAGGGACGCGGAAUUCCAGGUGUAGCGGUGAAAUGCGUAGAUAUCUGGAGGAACACCGGUGGCGAAGGCGGCGUCCUGGACCAACACUGACACUGAGGAGCGAAAGCCAGGGGAGCAAACGGG
rnacentral:rRNA from 1 species